UUGCCAGACUCCUACGGGAGGCAGCAGUGGGGGAUAUUGCACAAUGGGGGAAACCCUGAUGCAGCGACGCCGCGUGAGUGAAGAAGUAAUUCGUUACGUAAAGCCCUAUCGGCAGGGAAGAAGCAAGACGGUACCUGACUAAGAAGCCCCGGCUAACUACGUGCCAGCAGCCGCGGUAAUACGUAGGGGGCGAGCGUUAUCCGGAUUCACUGGGUGUAAAGGGAGCGUAGACGGCCAAGCAAGCCAGGGGUGAAAGCCCGGGGCCCAACCCCGGGACUGCUCUUGGAACUGCGUGGCUGGAGUGCAGGAGGGGCAGGCGGAAUUCCUGGUGUAGCGGUGAAAUGCGUAGAUAUCAGGAGGAACACCGGUGGCGAAGGCGGCCUGCUGGACUGCAACUGACGUUGAGGCCCGAAAGCGUGGGGAGCAAACAGGAUUAGAUACCCUGGUAA
rnacentral:rRNA from 1 species